ACCUGAGUUUCUUUGUAUCUUUAUUGAACCAGCACGGAAGGAGGACAUUGCUGGACCGGUACUCAGACACUUUCAUCAGUCACAGCUGACCAGGAAGCAGGGCAGAGGAAGGUGGACCACAGAAAAGUUGGGACUUUGUCCAUUAGGCGAUGGCCAAUCGUACUCCACCUCUACCUCAGAACACAGUUUCCUUCUUGCUGACGAGGGAGGGCCAUCCGCCGUGGGCACGGGAGACUGGGGGUUCGGUCAUGUCGUCAGCCAGACUGGCACCGGUGCAGUCCUCGUAGAAGAGGUGCAGGUAGGAGCGGACCCCAUACCACUUCCCAUGCUCCACAUUGGGCCCCCGGCUGCAGCCGCACGACUGGCUGCGGGCAGGCAUGGAGCCUGGGGAGGGGAUUGAGAACACCUGUCAGGACGUCUCUUUACGGCUGAUGCCAAGCUCGGGGAGGUGAACGCCUCCAGGAGAGGAGGUAGCCCUGUGCCCCGUGAGCACGGCACGUCGGGGAUACCCAUAAGACACAUCCAGGCCCCAUCCCACAGCCGGAUGCCAGGACACGACUGCAGCCAGACAUUCACGUUCUGCUGAGCACAGUCCACUCCUGAGCUUCGAGCCAGACCUGGUGACUGAGAUCCUGUUUGCCACACACACAGUCCUGCCGGCCGCUGAGUGCCCCUCUCCCCUUUUCCAUGUGCGUGCGGGCAUACACAGCGCACAGAGGACACAGCGCAGACUGCACGCACCUUUAAAGAACGUACAGUCAUCAAGGGACAUCAAACUCAAGCACUUUGGAGGAAGGAUGGG